rnacentral:rRNA from 1 species
UACGGAGGGUGCGAGCGUUGUCCGGAAUCACUGGGCGUAAAGGGCGCGUAGGCGGCGCGGGAAGUCCGUGGUGAAAGCCCGAGGCUCAACUUCGGGUCGGCCAUGGAUACUCCUGGGCUCGAGCACUGUAGAGGCAGGUGGAAUUCCGGGUGUAGCGGUGGAAUGCGUAGAGAUCCGGAAGAACACCGGUGGCGAAGGCGGCCUGCUGGGCAGUAGCUGACGCUGAGGCGCGACAGCGUGGGGAGCAAACGGG